UACGUAGGGGGCAAGCGUUGUCCGGAAUCAUUGGGCGUAAAGCGCGCGUAGGCGGCCCGGUAAGUCCGCUGUAAAAGUCCAGGGCUCAACCCUGGAAAGCCGGUGGAUACUGUCGGGCUAGAGUCCGGAAGAGGCGAGUGGAAUUCCCAGUGUAGAGGUGAAAUUCGUAGAUAUUGGGAAGAACACCGGUGGCGAAGGCGGAUCUCUGGGCCUUACCUGACGCUCAGGCGCGAAAGCUAGGGGAGCGAACUGG
rnacentral:rRNA from 1 species